rnacentral:lncRNA from 1 species
AUGACCCAGGCUCAGUUACCACAGCCUCCCCCCCCCCCCCCCCCCCCCCCCCCCCCCCCCCCCCCCCCCCCCCCCCCCCCCCCCCCCCCCCCCCCCCCCCCCCCCCCCCCCCCCCCCCCCCCCCCCCCCCCCCCCCCCCCCCCCCCCCCCCCCCCCCCCCCCCCCCCCCCCCCCCCCCCCCCCCCCCCCCCCCCCCCCCCCCCCCCCCCCCCCCCCCCCCCCCCCCCCCCCCCCCCCCCCCCCCCCCCCCCCCCCCCCCCCCCCCCCCCCCCCCCCCCCCCCCCCCCCCCCCCCCCCCCCCCCCCCCCCCCCCCCCCCCCCCCCCCCCCCCCCCCCCCCCCCCCCCCCCCCCCCCCCCCCCCCCCCCCCCCCCCCCCCCCCCCCCCCCCCCCCCCCCCCCCCCCCCCCCCCCCCCCCCCCCCCCCCCCCCCCCCCCCCCCCCCCCCCCCCCCCCCCCCCCCCCCCCCCCCCCCCCCCCCCCCCCCCCCCCCCCCCCCCCCCCCCCCCCCCCCCCCCCCCCCCCCCCCCCCCCCCCCCCCCCCCCCCCCCCCCCCCCCCCCCCCCCCCCCCCCCCCCCCCCCCCCCCCCCCCCCCCCCCCCCCCCCCCCCCCCCCCCCCCCCCCCCCCCCCCCCCCCCCCCCCCCCCCCCCCCCCCCCCCCCCCCCCCCCCCCCCCCCCCCCCCCCCCCCCCCCCCCCCCCCCCCCCCCCCCCCCCCCCCCCCCCCCCCCCCCCCCCCCCCCCCCCCCCCCCCCCCCCCCCCCCCCCCCCCCCCCCCCCCCCCCCCCCCCCCCCCCCCCCCCCCCCCCCCCCCCCCCCCCCCCCCCCCCCCCCCCCCCCCCCCCCCCCCCCCCCCCCCCCCCCCCCCCCCCCCCCCCCCCCCCCCCCCCCCCCCCCCCCCCCCCCCCCCCCCCCCCCCCCCCCCCCCCCCCCCCCCCCCCCCCCCCCCCCCCCCCCCCCCCCCCCCCCCCCCCCCCCCCCCCCCCCCCCCCCCCCCCCCCCCCCCCCCCCCCCCCCCCCCCCCCCCCCCCCCCCCCCCCCCCCCCCCCCCCCCCCCCCCCCCCCCCCCCCCCCCCCCCCCCCCCCCCCCCCCCCCCCCCCCCCCCCCCCCCCCCCCCCCCCCCCCCCCCCCCCCCCCCCCCCCCCCCCCCCCCCCCCCCCCCCCCCCCCCCCCCCCCCCCCCCCCCCCCCCCCCUCUUUAUUCAUUCAUUCAUUCAUUCAUUCAUUCAUUCAUUCAUUCAUUCAUUCAUUCAUUCAUUCAUUCAUUCAUUCAUUCAUUCAUUCAUUCAUUCAUUCAUUCAUUCAUUCAUUCAUUCAUU